CAGUGUUGGACUGGGGUAAUUACUAAAAGUUAGGAGGGUAAUAUUGUCCGUAGGAUUGGGUGCCCUAGGCCUGAUUUGGGCCUAUUUUGGGUUGCUGGUUUUGGGCCAGGUGUGGGCUUCAGAAGUGGGUUGUCCGAUGUGUUGAGGUGCGGGUGUAGGGUUGGUUAUUUCCACACCAAAAAUCAUCAUCCUCUUUUCAGUAAAAGCUGAACAGAGUUCCUCUCUGCAACUCCUCCUCCAUUACUGCAUUCGAAUUUUCGACAAUUCUGAUUGCUUUCCUCGCUUUUUAUCCAUACCGUUUGGCUCAAAGAAUGAAAACACGCAUUGACCUGAGAAAUCUUAAGAGUUGUUUACAAAUUAGUAAUUAACUUUGCAGUGUGGAUGGCUGGUGUUUUGUUAAACUCUAUACAAAGGCUCUUGAUUGUUCCUAAUGGUUUUCUCUUGCCUAAUAAUCGGGUGAACAUAAAGGUUUAUAUGGAUUUACGUGUUGGUGAUGUCAUCCGUUUUGGGCUGUGAGUAUCUUCUUAUCUUAACUCUCACUCUGCAACGCGAUUGACCAUCUCUUCGAUCUCUGUUUCGUUAUCUCUUCAAUCCCUGCUUUGCAAUCUUCGUUGUUCACCCUGCCUUCUCAUCUCCGUUGGUAUUUCCACCAACCAAUGAAGUGCCCGGAGUUUGAACAUGAAAUGCCCAGGAGGCCCAGUGCAAGGUAUAUUUGAUCUCCGUUGCACACGUCGCCUUCUCAUCGCCGUCGCACACCUUACCAGAACUUGAAUCAAUGCUAAAACCCUCACCGCGCUGCUUGCCUCUACUCUCCCCGUCUUCCUUCUCGCCUCAUCUGCUAAAAUCUCUUCGAUUCUACCAACCACCGCAACCGGUGAGACUUGCCCAAAGGAUGGGAAAGGGAUCACCAAUUUGAAAUCAACUCUUCAGCAACCACUCCCACUAUUAGUCCGCUAACAACUCCCGGCAAGACUACAUACCAGUCAAACACAAAUGGAAAUCCAGCCUCUUCAUCUUCUUCAAAGCUUGAUCGUGGCGGUUGCCUCGAGCUCUCGGAAGCCUUGCAUUUCUUGGACAAAAGCUUUCCACACAGACCUGAGUUUCCUUGGUAUGAAUCUUCUAGGAAUGUACCAAAUUGUUGGCCAAGUGGUAUAGGCCCCCAAAGAUGGUUAUACGACACGUUGAAGUACCCAAGGAAAUCCAUAAGUCUCAUAUCAUAGGGGGUCUGAACAUAUCUCAACUCAACACCUUUUACAGGAAUUAUCAUCUCGUUUGAAAAUUGAAAGUAAUAUCCAUAUGUAUUUGUGCUGUCGUUCAAUGAGACUAUAAAGUACCGGCUUCCCUUGUUUGUGACAACAUAUUUCAUGAAAUUCCAGUUCUCCAUGUACUUAGAAGGCAACAUACCUGAAAAUAGAUUGUUGGAUAAAUCAAUGAUCAGUUGGAGGCUUCCCAAUUAUCCCAUGAAAUGCAUUCGACCCCAAAAUGAGACCCCUCAAUACUGGAAGUACCCCUAACCAAGAAGGGAAGAUGUCACUGAUUUGAUUGUUGCCAAUGUGAAGAAACUCUAACUGAAUGCAAUCGGCCAUUGAUCUUGGUAGCAUCCCCUGUAACCGAUUGUAACCCAACCCAACAAAUUUCAAACUAUUUUUGUUAACACAAAAUGGAGGAAUAUGGUCGUGGAAAGAAUUAAACAUCAAAUGCAGUAUUUCCAAGCUACUAGACUUCCCCAAACACUGUGGAAGCAUACCACUCAGGUUGUUGGCCAAAUCAAGAACUUGAAGAUAAUUCAAGUUGCAGAACAAGGGUGAAACUUCUCCACUAUAAUUAUUGUUGUCGACCAUGUAAACCGUGAUAGAUUGUGGUGGAAUUGGCAAUGACCCUUGUAACCGAUUAUUAGCAAGAUUAAACAGUUGUAGAUUUUUCCAUGGAAGAGUGACUGGAUUCUCCUCAAAGCCUGUUAAGAAGUUAGAGCCGAGGUCGAGAUUGACCAAAGUUUCUCUAGUUGCAUUCCAGAGCCAUUUUGGUAUUUGGCCAUGAAUGUUGUUACGAGAAAGGUAUAGGCCUCCCAAUUCGUAUUGAUUUUUCAAAAAUUCUGGAAACUCUGUCAAGUUGCAUUCAGCCAACUUUAGAAAUUCGAACUUUGGAAGAGUAGCACUCGAACCAGAUUUGACACGCACGGAUAACCUAUUGUCCGAUAAACCAAGUACCUUCAACUUUUUGAGGUUGGAAAACUCAUCAAACUCAACUAAUCCACUCAAAUUAUUACCGGAAAGGCCAAGACGUUCAAGAUUUCUGAGGUGGAAAAGCGACUUAGGGAUUUCACCAGUUAAUGAAUUGUAGACAAAUAUAGGAACGCAAGUUGGGUCAGGUUAGCCACAAAACGUGGGAAAUUGUAAGUUAAUAUCCGAAAGAUCCAAGUAGCUGAGCUUGGUUAAUUUUCCAAAACAAGACAAGGAAUCAGGAACUAAGAAUUGGCCUGCGGAAACAUCAUGAAAUGAAGCCAUCUCAAGGAAACUGAGCUGGGUAAGGUUUCCAAAUGAAGAUGGAACAUGGGAAUCAAAACCACAGUAUGAGAUAUCAAAGUAGUUUAAGGAAUGAAGGUUUCCGAUAGAAUUAGGAAGUUCACCAGAGAAAUUUGUCGAUGAAACAUCCAAUGUUUUGAAGGAAUUGGUCCGGUUAAAAGUAGGAAAAAUAACCAAUGUUUGAGUAUAAACUAAGCUCCUCUAGGUUUGGUAGGUGGAAAAUGCCUACUGGGAAUUCCCCCUACCACCCACAGUAGCUUAGAUUGAGAGAUGUGAAAGAAGAUGCAUUGACCAAGAUAUCAGGCACAGUGGAGUAUAUGCCUACAUCACUAAGAUGAAGUUGUUUUAUGCUGGUCAAGUUUUGGACUAGGAUUCUCAUGUUGGACUUCCUAAGCUCCAAACCAUUAUUUUGAGACAGAUCAAGGGUAGACAGUUUAGAUAGCUUUGAAAUUUCAGAUGGAAUUUGGCCAGAAAAUGCAGAUAGUGAAAGGUUGAGAUAGGAUAGACUCGAAAGGUCAUGGCCAAAUCUCGAUGGUAUUUCAGACGAAUUAAAGUUGUUAUCUGAGAGGUCAAGCAUCUGCAAGUGAACAAGUCGGAAGAGGGUGCUGUUGGAAUUGAUAGAACCAUAAAGACAGCUGCUCUUGAGGUCAAGGCCAAUGACACGGCCAGACUCCGCAUGGCACUCAACACCAUCCCACGAACAACAUUUACUCUGAUUCUGAUCUCCUUCUCGAGCCCAAGAUGAUGCUACCUUCGGAUAAGCAAAAGGAGAUCUAGAAGCUGACUAGUCUAUCGUAAAGCUUUCCUUGAAUUGUAACAAGAAGGAGUGCUCGUCAGCGUGGCAAAGUGUCCGUGUCUGAGUCUGCACAAAUGAAAAACAGUGAGUGGUAUUGAGUAAUAGAAAAAGAAGACAAUGGAAACAGGUAAACUUGGACAACCAAGAUUCCAUUUUCAUGGCAGUGUGUUUUUCUGGUUAUAGGAAAUAUUGUUUUAUGGCUCUCGAAUAAUUAAGAGUGGAGAAGUUAACUCCUUUUAUAGACACAACUCAUGUGAAGCAUAAAUAAAAAAAAGUAUGAGUCGAUCGAUGAAUGGGUGGUGAAUUGAUGUCUUGAUCAAUUGAAGACUUGAAGUCAUUCAUCGUUUGCAUGUAAUAAUUGCAAACACGAUCAUUUAGUUUUAUCUAUACGCUCGUUUGAUCUUAAAAAAUGUGAAUGUAAUACUUUGAGUAGAUUAAAUCAGGUGAUCGCCAUCACUUGAAGACUUGAAGUCAAGUCGUCGUUUGCAUAUGUGACUUAUCUCAACGCUUAUUUAUCUUUUUAAUACAUGUUCUAAUUCUGUGUAUAUAUACUCCUUAACUCAAUUUAUUUUUUGUUACACU